rnacentral:tRNA from 1 species
GUUAGUGUGGCAGAGCCCGGUAAAUGCAAAAGACCUAAGUCCUUUGACCCAGGGGUUCAACUCCCCUCACUAACU